UUGCCUCUUCUUCUUGGUUCUUCUACAUUUGCUUAUGAAUCUCUCUGCUCCUAAUCACCUCAACAUCUUCUUCCUUCAUUGUCUCUUGUUCCUUAUUGAGCAAAGGAUCAACUUCCAACACUCCCUCUUGAUCCUUAUGCUCAAUCCCCAAAAUCUGACCUAAGGAAUUGAUUCCCUUUGUUGCUGAAACUUCUUUGAUUUGGUUCCUAAUUCCUGGUCCUAUGCCUCUCAGAAUAUCAGCAUAGCUCACUGGUGCUCUUGCAAGUAUUGCAAGUCGUCGAUCCCUUCUGCAACAUCUACAAAACUCACAGGUAAUUUAUCUUUUUCCCUCAUUGUUUCAUUCUUUACCUUAGUAAUCUUGAUUGAGUUUGACCUAGUUUCUGAUCUGUUUCUCAUCAUGAUUGAUCCCUUGUUCUUGUCAUGAGUUUCUGUGAAUUGAGGCUUCUUCUUCUGCAUGUUGGUCUCAUUGCAAAUCGAAUCAUCAUCCUCCAAGUAUCGUACCUUUCAGCAGUAACAUAAGUGAUCUUCACCUUUUUCCAUUACUCGGGUUCUCCCUCUUGAGUCUUGCUCGAACCAGUUAUCAUUGUACACUCUGUGGUUACUAUGUCGUGAGUCUUUCCUAGAGCUACCUCAGUCUUACCACGAGCAUUCUUCACAGUCAAGCCUGCUACAACUCCAGCGGGUCCAUUCUUCCUAUCAACAUGCUCAGUUUCCCUUAUGAAAGUUUCUGCUCUACUUUGCUCCUUGAGACCAAUACCAUCCUCACUUGCAUUCACCCUUGGUUGGUCAACAAGUUCUCCAGUUCCAUAUUCUUCUCCAUAAUUUCCAGAAUCCGGUCUGAAUGUGUCUUGUGUACGUUGAACAUUCGUAACUUCUGAAACCUUGCUGCAAACGCUCCCUCAACACUCCCACUGUUCCUAUCAUCUAAUCUUUUCUCUUGACCUUGUAAGGCAUUGACUACCUCCGCCACUGUUAUGGUUGAAAGAUCCUUUGUCUGCUCUAUAACACCCACGUAUGAGUCAAACCUCUCUUGCAAGGAGCACAAUAUCUUGGAGACAAUCAUGCUCUCAGAUUGUAAAUGUUGGCCCUUAGUCUCCGCAGCAUUAUCAUGGAACCUUUUGAGUCUCCUUGAAAUCUCAGCUUCAACACUUCCCAUGCUUCUCUUGACGUUUCAGUCACUGACAGGUGUAGCUAGCUUAGGCGAUUCUGGAAUUCCCUCAGUUACUAUCUUCCACAACCCUUUAGACUUAAGGAUUGGCUUCAUCUUAAUGACCCAUAAGCUAUAGUUGUUUCCAUCACACACUGGAACCACUAAUCUUCAAGAUUCCAGGCCACCAAGACCAUCUAGCUCUGAUACCAUGUUGAUUUGUACUUGAAGGAGUCUUAGCCGCUUAGAAAACUUACUAUUACACAACAAUCUUAUCUUGUUUUUACCAUCUUCUUACAUAUUUAUACUAAUAGAUUUACUGGUUUAGGUUAAUUGUCAUUUGUCCUAAACCACAAAAUAUUGCUGAGCUCAUUACACAUAAUUGGGCCUAAUUGAUUACAUGGCCUACUGGCCCUUUUUGCUUAA